GACGAACGCUGGCGGCGUGCUUAACACAUGCAAGUCGAACGGUGAACCUCUUCGGAGGGGAUCAGUGGCGAACGGGUGAGUAACACGUGGGCAACCUGCCCCCGGCUCUGGGAUAACUCCAAGAAAUUGGGGCUAAUACCGGAUGUUCACCGCUUCCCGCAUGGGUGGUGGUGGAAAGGGUUUCCGGCUGGGGAUGGGCCCGCGGCCUAUCAGCUUGUUGGUGGGGUAGUGGCCUACCAAGGCGACGACGGGUAGCCGGCCUGAGAGGGUGACCGGCCACACUGGGACUGAGACACGGCCCAGACUCCUACGGGAGGCAGCAGUGGGGAAUAUUGCGCAAUGGGCGGAAGCCUGACGCAGCGACGCCGCGUGGGGGAUGACGGCCUCGGGUUGUAAACCUCUUUCAGCAGGGACGAAGCGCAAGUGACGGUACCUGCAGAAGAAGCACCGGCCAACUACGUG
rnacentral:rRNA from 1 species